UCGCCAUGGUGACCAAUAGACAUCAACAACCCGACGGUCGACAUGGCAUGUAAGAAUAGUCCGUUUGAGACUAAGUUUUCCUUCAACCUCCUCCCAACCAAGACAUUUUCAUUCCUUCGGGACAAAAGCACGCUACAACUCCUCAUGAAAUGGUCCAUGCUCGGGCGUAUCUCAGCCCAGGCCUUCAGCUUUGACCAGACCUUCCACCCAUACAACAGCCACGACUUUACACUGAGUUUCUUCAGAGACCCCUGUGUGCUGACCAACCUCAGGAAGAUGGAGGCUGGAGCCUGGGUUACUCUGGGUAUGUCAUGUCACCUCUGUCACCUCUACCCAGUUAGCAAUCCGAAGGCCUGCGACCCUCCAGAGUGGUCACACGUUGUGCGACAGUUUUUUUUUGCCAAUUGCCUCAUUCAUGGGGUGAUAUGACACUUUGUAAAGCAGCAGUCUUGCUCCUGCCAUUCACGUGCCGUUUUCCCCACGCAGCCCACCCGCUACACUACAGCGGCCAGUCAGAGGCAAGAAGCUUUUUCAGCGUCAAACCCUGUCACCACUUAUUCUGAUCAAUUUGUAUUAUUUAAGAUACGUUGGAUGCCYUGUCCAUUUGAAAAACAGUUGGGGAUUUCCUAUAAGUAUUUAUAAAUACUGUAAAUGAUUGUGUGUGUGUGUGUGCAAAAUAUCAGAUAGCGAGGGCCAGUCCUGGUUCCCUGGAUCAACA